UACGGGGGGGGCAAGCGUUGUCCGGAAUCAUUGGGCGUAAAGCGCGUGUAGGCGGCCCGGUAAGUCCGCUGUGAAAGUCGGGGGCUCAACCCUCGGAUGCCGGUGGAUACUGUCGGGCUAGAGUACGGAAGAGGCGAGUGGAAUUCCUGGUGUAGCGGUGAAAUGCGCAGAUAUCAGGAGGAACACCAAUUGCGAAGGCAGCUCGCUGGGACGUUACUGACGCUGAGACGCGAAAGCGUGGGGAGCAAACAGG
rnacentral:rRNA from 1 species